UAUUCACUCCCAGCCAUAGGUAUGUAACAUAUUCACUCCCUACCAUAGGUAUGUAACAAAUUCACACUCUACCAUAGGUAUGUAACAUAUUCACUCCCUACCAUAGGUAUGUAACAUAUUCACUUACCUACCAUAGGUAUGUAACAUAUUCACUCCCAGCCAUAGGUAUGUAACAUAUUCACUCCCUACCAUAUGUGUGUAACAUAUUCACUUACCUACCAUAGGUAUGUAACAUAUUCACUCCCUACCAUAGGUAUGUAACGUAUUCACACCCUACCAUAGGUAUGUGACAUAUUCACACCCUACCAUAGGUAUGUAACAUAUUCACUUACCUAACAUAGGUAUGUAACAUAUUCACUCCCAGCCAUAGGUAUGUAACAUAUUCACUUACCUACCAUAGGUAUGUAACAUAUUCACACCCUACCAUAGGUAUUAACAUAUUCACUCCCUACCAUAGGUAUGUAACAUAUUCACUCCCUACCAUAGGUAUGUAACAUAUUCACACCCUACCAUAGGUAUGUAACAUAUUCACUCCCUACCAUAGGUAUGUAACAUAUUCACUCCCUACCAUAGGUAUGUAACAUAUUCACACCCUACCAUAGUUAUGUAACAUAUUCACUUACCUACCAUAGGUAUGUAACAUAUUCACUUACCUAACAUAGAUAUGUAACAUAUUCACUCCCUACCAUAGGUAUGUAACAUAUUCACUUACCUAUCAUAGGUAUGUAACAUAUUCACUCCCUACCAAAUGUUACAUAUUCACACACACUGUAUACUGUAGUAGGUACAGCCUAUGUCCCCCUAUGGUAGGUCACACACACUGUAUACUGUGGUAGGUACAGCCUAUGUCCCCCUAUGGUAGGUCACACACACUGUAUACUGUAGUAGGUACGGCCUAUGUCCCCCUAUGGUAGAUCACACACACACUGUAUACUGUGGUAGGUACGGCCUAUGUCCCCCUAUGGUAGAUCACACACACUGUAUACUGUAGUAGGUACGGCCUAUGUCCCCCUAUGGUAGGUCACACACACUGUAUACUGUAGUAGGUACGGCCUAUGUCCCCCUAUGGUAGGUCACACACACUGUAUACUGUAGUAGGUAAGGCCUAUGUCCCCCUAUGGUAGAUCACACACACUGUAUACUGUAGUAGGUACGGCCUAUGUCCCCCUAUGGUAGAUCACACACACUGUAUACUAUGGUAGGUACGGCCUAUGUCCCCCUAUGGUAGAUCACACACACUGUAUACUGUGGUAGGUAUGGCCUAUGUCCCCCUAUGGUAGAUCACACACACUGUAUACUAUAGUAGGUACGGCCUAUGUCCCCUAUGGUAGAUCACACACACUGUAUACUGUGGUAGGUACGGCCUAUGUCCCCCUAUGGUAGAUCACACACACUGUAUACUAUGGUAGGUAUGGCCUAUGUCCCCCUAUGGUAGAUCACACACACUGUAUACUGUAGUAGGUACGGCCUAUGUCCCCCUAUGGUAGAUCACACACACUGUAUACUGUAGUAGGUACGGCCUAUGUCCCCCUAUGGUAGAUCACACACACUGUAUACUGUAGUAGGUACGGCCUAUGUCCCCCUAUGGUAGAUCACACACACUGUAUACUGUAGUAGGUACGGCCUAUGUCCCCCUAUGGUAGAUCACACACACUGUAUACUGUAGUAGGUACGGCCUAUGUCCCCCUAUGGUAGAUCACACACACACUGUAUA